UACGUAGGUGGCAAGCGUUGUCCGGAAUUAUUGGGCGUAAAGCGCGCGCAGGCGGUCCUUUAAGUCUGAUGUGAAAGCCCACGGCUCAACCGUGGAGGGUCAUUGGAAACUGGGGGACUUGAGUGCAGAAGAGGAAAGCGGAAUUCCACGUGUAGCGGUGAAAUGCGUAGAGAUGUGGAGGAACACCAGUGGCGAAGGCGGCUUCUGGACCAAUACUGACGCUGAGGCGCGAAAGCGUGGGGAGCAAACAGG
rnacentral:rRNA from 1 species